rnacentral:rRNA from 1 species
GUCUUCUGCCAUGCCACCCUGAAUGUGCCCGAUCCCAACUGAUCUCGGAAGCUAAGCAGGGUCGGGCCUGGUUAGUACUUGGAUGGAAGACCACCUAGGAAAACCAGGUGCUUGUAGGCG